rnacentral:miRNA from 2 species
UGCCGCCACCUUCUCCCCGCCGGGGAGAAGGGACAUGCCGUGCCCUCUCAUUCCCCCUUCUCCCCGGCGGGGAGAAGGUGCCCGGA